UUCCAGGUUUAUUCAAAUUACAAAGAAACGAAGUUAACCUCCAAAGCCGUAAAGAGUUCGGCCCUGUCUUUUCAGAGCAUAAACCACAUCCAUUGCAGUAACCGUCUUCCUCCUAGCGUGCUCGGUGUAAGUAACCGCGUC